GAAGUGCUUCGGUCAGGCAGUAUCUUUGAAAAUAAUUUGGCCAAUGAAAGCCCUGGCAUUGGAUGAAAGUGCUAGCUGCUGGGAAUGCUACCCCUCCUUUUGGUUCUCUUUCAAGUCCUUCAGGUUCAAACAAUACAGAAGUGUAUAAAGUAAGAAUUGAAAGUCUCUUCGCUGCUCUAAUCUCACUCCUCAGAGGUGAUCACUGAUUAUCAUCCCAGAGCCCUGAAGCCCACACACAGCUUCUUCAGGAAAUGCUGACAACAUGGACCUGAGUGAGCAGAAGGCUUUUCAGAACAGCCUGAACUAUUUCUUGAGCAGUUUGGGAACUCAUUUCUAAAGCAGUCCUCGGAUUCACACAACAUAGUUUGUGACGGAGUAUGCCCAGAGCAGCUGUCUUGUUGAUGGGGGCGCACCCUGACUAAUGGCGUGUUGGCAAAGGUUUAACAACAGGCUCCAGAGGAGGGCGGACUUGAAGUGGAGCCUUCAGGGGGCAGUGUGAGGGGUGCUGAUUUCAAACAACUCAUCUGGUAUUACUGAACAUGAAGUUGGGAAGAGAUGUGCAUAAUUGAAGUGGGUGAGAGCCAGUCCAGCACCCUGUGGAGAGUGUGGAAGAUGAUCAAAGUAUGACGUUUCUUCUACCCCAGAGGUUGGCAUUUCUGCAGGCACAAAUGAGCUUGGUUUUCAAGCACCAGUCUUUGAGCACAAGGAAUUCCUUUAAUGAUCACGGGCUAGAUAGACUUUGGAAUCAGACUCUUUGAAUUCCAGCUCUGCCAUUUACCAACUUU
rnacentral:lncRNA from 1 species